UUUAGGGUUUAGGGUUUAGGAUUUAGGAUUUAGGGUUUAGGGUUUAGGGUUUAGGGUUUAGGGUUUAAAGUUUAGGGUUUAGAGUUUAGGGGUGGGGUUUAUGAUUUAGGGUUUAGAAUUUAGGGUUUAGGGUUUAGAGUUUAGGGUUUAGGGUUUAGAGUUUAGGGUUUAGGGUUUAGAGUUGGGGAGUGGGGUUUUGGGAUAAGAUUUCAAAUUUUGAAAAAUAAAAAAAAAUUUAAAUUUUUCAAAAGAUAAAAUGCUAUUUUGGUCAUUUUAGUUUUUGAGGGCUAUUUUGUGACAUAAACUUAGAAAUGUGCUAUUUUAGAGAUUUGCCCUAAUUUAAACGAUAUUAACAUAUAUAUAUUUAUUAUUUAUUUAUAUUUUCACAUUAAAUGAGACUUUCUACUUAUAUGAUUUUGUAAAUCAUUUACAUCUUGUA
rnacentral:lncRNA from 1 species